rnacentral:rRNA from 1 species
UGGGGAAUUUUGGACAAUGGGCGAAAGCCUGAUCCAGCAAUGCCGCGUGUGUGAAGAAGGCCUUCGGGUUGUAAAGCACUUUUGUCCGGAAAGAAAUCCUUGGCUCUAAUACAGUCGGGGGAUGACGGUACCGGAAGAAUAAGCACCGGCUAACUACGUGCCAGCAGCCGCGGUAAUACGUAGGGUGCAAGCGUUAAUCGGAAUUACUGGGCGUAAAGCGUGCGCAGGCGGUUUGCUAAGACCGAUGUGAAAUCCCCGGGCUCAACCCGGGAACUGCAUUGGUGACUGGCAGGCUAGAGUAUGGCAGAGGGGGGUAGAAUUCCACGUGUAGCAGUGAAAUGCGUAGAGAUGUGGAGGAAUACCGAUGGCGAAGGCAGCCCCCUGGGCAAUACUGACGCUCAUGCACGAAAGCGUGGGGAGCAAACAGGAUUAGAUACCCUGGUAGUCCACGCCCCUAAACGAUGUCAACUAGUUGUUGGGGAUUCAUUUCCUUAGUAACGUAGCUAACGCGUGAAGUUGACCGCCUGGGGAGUACGGUCGCAAGAUUAAAACUCAAAGGAAUUGAAC